CUACACAUCAAAGGGAAUUGCCAAUGAUUAGUCGGGAAGAUGAACCAACUAGGAGCCAGACUCCUCCUCCUUGCCACUUUCCGAAACUUUGGCUUAUGCACCUUUAAACCCAACUCAUGAUCCCCUUGACGCUGCGCCUGACCUACAAGUCGUUGUUGUCAACCUUCCUACCGAUCUCCUCGAACAAAAAGUCAAAAAGGAACAACAAACUCUCCCCGAGCCAGUCCACCAACAUUUUGAAACAAACGCCCCACCUCUAGGAGCCGACCCUUCAGCGGCCAACUGUCCCGAAGCUCCCCUCGUGGUGGUUGAAGAAAUAUCUUCAUCUCAAUCAGGGGAGGCUUCCAUCAACCAGAAAUUAGAAAAUAUGGUAAAUUAAUUGUUUACUUCCAAUUUUCCAAUUUUCCACUUUCCUGAGAUUUCAUGUUUUCUCAACCCCUUCUCCUCACAAGGUUCAGAACCAAAUGUUGUUAAUCCGAGCCUUCUUCCCGCGGGAGAAGAGUGAGGAGUUAGUGCCUAGGAGCUCUAGGGUCCACCCCUACUUGUGCCCGCACUUCUGGCUCCAUCCAGCUCGACAGUCAUUCCAAGCCAGUGGUGACCAGAUAUGUCAACUUACCUUGCCCUGACUUGAGCUAUGAAGCACUUCAGGCUCUGACUCAAGUCAUAAUCGAUCUGUUGGUCCAAAGUCCCGCUGAUUUGGACACCAUUCCAGUUCUCCACUGACUGAUAGAAAGGAUCACAGAACUUCAAGCCGACCUUCCCUUGAUCCCAACUCCAUCUGUAGGGCCGUCCCAGCGUCCAUCUGAGACGGAUCUGACCACAAUUAAGGCCCGUUUUGUCAAAGACCAACAAGGACCUCCGACAAGCUGAUGCGCGAUUGAACAACCUACUCCAAUCCCAAUCCUUCUUGGAUGAGGACAUCAGUAGAAGGCAAAGAGAACUGGAGCACCACCAGAAUGAAUUAGAGAAACUCAAGAGAGAAUAUGUCGCCUUGAGCGGCUACAUUGAAGAAGAGAGACGUCUGAUCGAUGGAUACCGCCACUAACACUAAUUUUUCCUUUUAUCUAAUUUUUAUGUACUUUAUAUCCUUUUACAUCCUUUGAUUCUGUGGACUCUUGGUAUCAGAACCAAGG